GUUGGUAUCUCAGUGGUAGAGUGCAUGCUUUGUGUGUUUGACGUCCUUGGGUUCAAAUUCCAGCUGCACA